rnacentral:rRNA from 1 species
GACGAACGCUGGCGGCGUGCCUAAUACAUGCAAGUAGAACGCUGAAGAGAGGAGCUUGCUCUUCUUGGAUGAGUUGCGAACGGGUGAGUAACGCGUAGGUAACCUGCCUUGUAGCGGGGGAUAACUAUUGGAAACGAUAGCUAAUACCGCAUAACAAUGGAUGACACAUGUCAUUUAUUUGAAAGGGGCAAUUGCUCCACUACAAGAUGGACCUGCGUUGUAUUAGCUAGUAGGUGAGGUAAUGGCUCACCUAGGCGACGAUACAUAGCCGACCUGAGAGGGUGAUCGGCCACACUGGGACUGAGACACGGCCCAGACUCCUACGGGAGGCAGCAGUAGGGAAUCUUCGGCAAUGGGGGCAACCCUGACCGAGCAACGCCGCGUGAGUGAAGAAGGUUUUCGGAUCGUAAGGCUCUGUUGUAAGUCAAGAACGGGUGAGAGAGUGGAAAGUUCACACUGUGACGGUAGCUUACCAGAAAGGGACGGCUAACUACGUG